rnacentral:rRNA from 1 species
UGGGGAAUUUUGCACAAUGGGGGAAACCCUGAUGCAGCGACGCCGCGUGAUUUAGAAGGCCUUCGGGUUGUAAAAAUCUUUUGUAUGGGAAGAAAAUGACAGUACCAUACGAAUAAGGACCGGCUAACUACGUGCCAGCAGCCGCGGUAAUACGUAGGGGGCUAGCGUUAUCCGGAUUUACUGGGCGUAAAGGGUGCGUAGGUGGUCUUUCAAGUCGGUGGUUAAAGGCUACGGCUCAACCGUAGUUAGCCUCCGAAACUGGAAGACUUGAGUGCAGGAGAGGAAAGUGGAAUUCCCAGUGUAGCGGUGAAAUGCGUAGAUAUUGGGAGGAACACCAGUAGCGAAGGCGGCUUUCUGGACUGCAACUGACACUGAGGCACGAAAGCGUGGGUAGCAAACAGG